AUUGAAGUGUUUCCCUCGCAUCUCCGCAUCCUGACAGACUUCCCGCCGCCACUGCUCUGCACGCUGACGGGGGCGGGGGAAGUUUUUGUUUGGAUUACAAAGAAAUGACUGCAGCAGCAAUUCUUAUUUUGGAAAGACGAACGAAGACAACACUGGCUAGCUCAUUGAAUAGCUCCAGAAGAAGGACAUUGAUGCAGUCUUCAUCAAAAGGGCCCUCGAGAGCUUCACAAGCAGUGUGCAGACCAUUAGAGACUCUGACCAGCUGCAAGAGCCAUCAGGAACCGACCAAGAGACCAAGGACGGCUUUGACAGAAGAGGCGAAGCAGAGGCUGUCUGAACAGUUCUGCGACACCAUCCUGGCUCACACCAAAGCGAGGUUCUCUUUCAUUGGCCAUCUGAGUGCUACCUUAGUACAAGGAAUAUGUUUCAAAGGUACUGCCAUUCAUUUCCUGCUGAUGCUCUGAAUGCCACUGUGAAGGCAUAUCCCACGCUGAACAAGGCAAAGCUCAAGACGGAACUGUCUCUGAUCUAUGAGAAUCCUGAAGCAGCUUCAGUGUGCAUAUUGUAUGUAGUUCUCUGCAAACCAAUGGUGGCAUCAUGCCUUCAGUGUGC
ensembl:lncRNA